UACGUAGGGUGCGAGCGUUGUCCGGAAUUAUUGGGCGUAAAGAGCUCGUAGGCGGUGUGUCGCGUCGGCCGUGAAAACCUGGGGCUCAACUCUGGGCGUGCGGUCGAUACGGGCAUCACUUGAGUUCGGCAGGGGAGACUGGAAUUCCUGGUGUAGCGGUGAAAUGCGCAGAUAUCAGGAGGAACACCGGUGGCGAAGGCGGGGUCUCUGGGGCCGAUACUGACGCUGAGGAGCGAAAGCGUGGGGAGCGAACAGG
rnacentral:rRNA from 1 species